UUUUGGCUUCACUGUGGGUGUCAGCUUAUAGACAGUGUUUAGCACAUGAGCAGAGCAAAACAAAGAAGAUAUUUGUUCUAUUGUCUUCGGUUCCACUAAGAGGAGGAACUAAAAUAUACCACAUUUUUUACCUUAUGCCCCAUUUUGUUGUAUUUUUAACAGGGAAAAACUGUUCAGUACGAAAUAAGAGAUACUUGCACGAAACCAAAAAAAUAACAUGUUUCCCUUUUUAAAAGUGGUAGUUUUACUAUAACCCAUGACCCUGUGAUUUCUGUCAAAGGCCUAUUUACUAUAUAAUCUAAUCUUUCGUACUGAUUUCAUGCAAAACAAAUAGCAAAACUCUUUUUAAUAUGUAUCAAUUACAAAACAGAACCCGUAUGUUAUGCUUUAUCUUAUUUUAACUUGUCAUCCAAACACUAGUAAACUACCAUAAUGUCUGUUUUUAAGGGGGUCGGGGUGCAACUGUUCAAGUGGUUACCUUUUUGCCUCUAAUUUGGUCCCCCUUCCAAGUUCCGCCUACUGUUUGGUCGAAAUGAAAUCCAUUUUUAGGGAGUUGUCGGGAGGGUGCAAAGGCUUCUCUUCAACCUUUUUGGCCCCUCCUCCACCUAUUGUUUGGAUGAAAGUUUUUUUCUCCUAUAUCCUCUUCUUUACUUGCUUAUAGCUAUCUAAGUUUCCCCGUUUUUAUUUAUUGAGCUUUGUUCUCUCCCAAACUCCUUUUUCACUUCAAUUUUGCAAUUGGUUUCGCAGUGUUUAUGAUGGCAACAAGAAAAUAUAUAUUUUCUUUUAUUUGAUUAGAUUUAAGAGAAUAUUUUACCCAUUCAUGUGCCUUUUCUUUGUCUCGUUGAUACAAUUUUCUUCUAUCAAAAGAACAAAAAAAAAAGAAGAUAAUAACUCAAUUUUUUUGCUCUUUUGAAUAUAUUGAGGAGAAAAAAAUAAUCAGGGAAACAUUUAAUAUAUUUACGUUUUGUUUUGACAUCACAGGCAAUUGAAGCAGCAAUUGAACUCAAUCUUAAAACAGUAGAAGCAGG
rnacentral:lncRNA from 1 species